AGAGGAUUUGUCCCUAGUACGAGAGGACCGGGAUGAACAUACCUCUGGUGCACCGGUUGUCGCGCCAGCGGCACCGCCGGGUAGCUAAGUGUGGACGGGAUAACCGCUGAAAGCAUCUAAGCGGGAAACCCACCUCAAAACUAGAUCUCCCUGAGAGCCGUGAUAGACCAUCACGUUGAUAGGCCAGGUGUGGAAGCGCAGUAAUGCGUGCAGCUAACUGGUCCUAAUCGCUCUAUAGGCUCACUCUC
rnacentral:rRNA from 2 species